UACGUAGGGGGCAAGCGUUGUCCGGAAUCAUUGGGCGUAAAGAGCGUGUAGGCGGCCCGAUAAGUCCGCCGUGAAAGUCCAGGGCUCAACCCUGGAAUGCCGGUGGAAACUGUCGGGCUGGAGUCCGGAAGAGGCGAGUGGAAUUCCUGGUGUAGCGGUGAAAUGCGUAGAUAUCGGGAGGAACACCAGUGGCGAAGGCGACUUCCUGGCCUGUUCUUGACGCUGAGGCGCGAAAGCUAGGGGAGCAAACGGG
rnacentral:rRNA from 1 species